rnacentral:rRNA from 1 species
UACGUAGGGUGCGAGCGUUAAUCGGAAUUACUGGGCGUAAAGCGUGCGCAGGCGGCGCGUUAAGACAGGUGUGAAAGCCCCGAGCUUAACUUGGGAAUUGCGCUUGUGACUGGCGUGCUGGAGUGUGGCAGAGGGAGGUGGAAUUCCACGUGUAGCAGUGAAAUGCGUAGAGAUGUGGAGGAACACCAGUGGCGAAGGCGGCUUUUUGGUCUGUAACUGACGCUGAGGCGCGAAAGCGUGGGGAGCAAACAGG